rnacentral:misc_RNA from 1 species
GUGAAUCAUCAAAUUUUUGAACGCAAAUUGCACUCUCUUCGGAGAGUAUGCCUGUUUGAGGGUCAGCCUAAAAAAAAACGACCUUGUCGCUGUUUUGCGGUGACAUUCGUUCGAAAAUGGGUUCUCUUUAACCUUUGGGUUUUAAGCGGCUUUAAAUUUUUUUUACGAUUUCACGAAAGUUUCUUAGAUUUACUUCUUAUACGUUUUAGGUAACGU